GAGACAGCAGUAGCCGCGGUAAUACGUAGGGUGCAAGCGUUAAUCGGAAUUACUGGGCGUAAAGCGUGCGCAGGCGGUUUGUUAGGACAGAUGUGAAAUCCCCGGGCUCAACCUGGGAACUGCAUUUGUGACUGGCAAGCUAGAGUAUGGCAGAGGGGGGUGGAAUUCCGCGUGUAGCAGUGAAAUGCGUAGAUAUGCGGAGGAACACCGAUGGCGAAGGCAGCCCCCUGGGCCAAUACUGACGCUCAUGCACGAAAGCGUGGGGAGCAAACAGGAUUAGAUACCCCGGUAGUCCCUGUCUCUUAUAC
rnacentral:rRNA from 1 species